UACGGAGGGGGCUAGCGUUGUUCGGAAUUACUGGGCGUAAAGCGCGUGUAGGCGGCUUUGCAAGUCGGGUGUGAAAGCCCUCAGCUCAACUGAGGAAGUGCGCCCGAAACUGACAGAGCUUGAGUGCCGGAGAGGGUGGCGGAAUUCCCGGUGUAGAGGUGAAAUUCGUAGAUAUCGGGAGGAACACCGGUGGCGAAGGCGGCGAUCUGGGUCGAUACUGACGCUGAGGCGGCG
rnacentral:rRNA from 1 species